GACGAACGCUGGCGGCGUGCCUAAUACAUGCAAGUAGAACGCUGAAGCUUGGUGCUUGCACCGAGCGGAUGAGUUGCGAACGGGUGAGUAACGCGUAGGUAACCUGCCUGGUAGCGGGGGAUAACUAUUGGAAACGAUAGCUAAUACCGCAUAAGAGUAGAUGUUGCAUGACAUUUGCUUAAAAGGUGCAAUUUCAUCACUACCAGAUGGACCUGCGUUGUAUUAGCUAGUUGGUGAGGUAACGGCUCACCAAGGCAACGAUACAUAGCCGACCUGAGAGGGUGAUCGGCCACACUGGGACUGAGACACGGCCCAGACUCCUACGGGAGGCAGCAGUAGGGAAUCUUCGGCAAUGGACGGAAGUCUGACCGAGCAACGCCGCGUGAGUGAAGAAGGUUUUCGGAUCGUAAAGCUCUGUUGUAAGAGAAGAACGAGUGUGAGAGUGGAAAGUUCACACUGUGACGGUAUCUUACCAGAAAGGGACGGCUAACUACGUG
rnacentral:rRNA from 1 species